rnacentral:rRNA from 1 species
GCACAACGCGAAGAACCUUACCCACCUUUGACAUGUACGGAAUCCUUUAGAGAUAGAGGAGUGCUCGAAAGAGAGCCGUAACACAGGUGCUGCAUGGCUGUCGUCAGCUCGUGUCGUGAGAUGUUGGGUUAAGUCCCGCAACGAGCGCAACCCUUGUCAUUAGUUGCUACAUUUAGUUGGGCACUCUAAUGAGACUGCCGGUGACAAACCGGAGGAAGGUGGGGAUGACGUCAAGUCCUCAUGGCCCUUAUAGGUGGGGCUACACACGUCAUACAAUGGCUGGUACAAAGGGUUGCCAACCCGCGAGGGGGAGCUAAUCCCAUAAAGCCAGUCGUAGUCCGGAUCGCAGUCUGCAACUCGACUGCGUGAAGUCGGAAUCGCUAGUAAUCGUGGAUCAGAAUGUCACGGUGAAUACGUUCCCGGGUCUUGUACACACCG